GCACUCCCAGGGCGUCUCUAUCUCAUCGCGAGAGGAGGCGCACCUAGAGCGUACACGCUGAUACCCGAAAGAUGGUGAACUAUGCCUGGCCAGGACGAAGCCAGGGGAAACCCUGGUGGAGGUCCGCAGCGAUUCUGACGUGCAAAUCGAUCGUCGGAGCUGGGUUUAGGGGCGAAAGACCAAUCGAACCAUCUAGUAGCUGGUUCCCUCUGAAGUUUCCCUCAGGAUAGCUUGCGCUCGGGCGAGACGAGUCUCAUCCGGUAGAGCGAAUGAUUAGAGGCCUUGGGGUCGAAACGACCUCAACCUAUUCUCAAACUCCAAAUAGAUGAGAACCCUGACUUUCUUGAAAAUUGAAGCCAGGGUUUCGGAUCAGAGUGCCAAGUGGGCCAAUUUUGGUAAGCAGAACUGGCGCUGUGGGAUGAACCAAACGCGGAGUUAAGGCGCCUUAAUCGACGCUCAUGAGAAACCAUGAAAGGCGUUGGUUGCUUAAGACAGCAG
rnacentral:rRNA from 1 species